rnacentral:tRNA from 1 species
GUGCUCGUGGUGGAACGGCAGACACGGCAGGCUCAAACCCUGUUGACGGCAUUGUGGCCCGCAUGGGCCAUGAGAAUCCGUCCGAGCACACCA